ACGGGAGGCAGCAGUGGGGAAUAUUGGGCAAUGGGCGAAAGCCUGACCCAGCGACGCCGCGUGAGGGAAGAAGAUCUUCGGAUUGUAAACCUCUUUCAGCAGGGAAGAAGAAAGUGACGGUACCACAUGAAUAAGCCCCGGCUAACUACGUGCCAGCAGCCGCGGUAAUACGUAGGGGGCGAGCGUUAUCCGGAUUUACUGGGUGUAAAGGGCGCGUAGGCGGGGAUGCAAGUCAGAUGUGAAAUCCAUGGGCUCAACUCAUGAACUGCAUUUGAAACUGUAUCUCUUGAGUGCUGGAGAGGUAGACGGAAUUCCUUGUGUAGCGGUGAAAUGCGUAGAUAUAAGGAGGAACACCAGUGGCGAAGGCGGUCUACUGGACAGUAACUGACGCUGAGGCGCGAAAGCGUGGGGAGCAAACAGGAUUAGAUACCCUGGUA
rnacentral:rRNA from 1 species